rnacentral:rRNA from 1 species
GUCACACCCGUUCCCAUUCCGAACACGGAAGUUAAGCUCUUCAGCGCCGAUGGUAGUUGGGACCUUGUCCCUGUGAGAGUAGGACGUCGCUAGGC